GACCUGGUUGGGUGGUCCGCUUAACGGCGUGUUACUGCCUGGCUGGGUCUUGCCUCUUGGUGAACUGCUGUGUCCUUUGUUGGAUGCGGUGGAAGAACCAGGACUUUUACCUUGAGAAAAUUAGAGUGUUCAAAGCAGGCCAAUGCCUGAAUACAUUAGCAUGGAAUAAUAGAAUAGGAC
rnacentral:rRNA from 1 species